rnacentral:lncRNA from 1 species
UCACUUUGUCACUUGAUCAGAUAAGUGUAGCUAAAGCUACCACUUAUCACUUUGUCACUUGAUCAGAUAAGUGUAGCUAAAGCUACCACUUAUCACUUUGUCACUUGAUCAGAUAAGUGUAGCUAGGCUACCACUUAUCACUUUGUCACUUGAUCAGAUAAGUGUAGCUAAAGCUAAAUCUUAUUACUUUGUCACUUGAUCAGAUAAGUGCAGCUAGGCUACCACUUAUCACUUUGUCACUUGAUC